GACGAACGCUGGCGGCGUGCCUAAUACAUGCAAGUAGAACGAGUUGCGAACGGGUGAGUAACGCGUAGGAACCUGCCUCAUAGCGGGGGAUAACUAUUGGAAACGAUAGCUAAUACCGCAUACUGUGAGAUGGACCUGCGUUGUAUUAGCUAGUUGGUGAGGUAAAGGCCUACCAAGGCGACGAUCCGUAACUGGUCUGAGAGGAGGAUCAGCACCACUGGACCGGGGAAACGGUCCGGCGUCCUACGGGAGGAAGCAGUGGGGAAUAUUGGACAAUGGGCGAAAGCCUGAUCCAGCCAUGCCGCGUGUGUGAAGAAGGUCUUCGGAUUGUAAGGCACUUUGAGUUGGGAGGCGUUAACAACAGAAUAAGCACCGGCUAACUUCGUGCCAGCAGCCGCGGUAAUUC
rnacentral:rRNA from 1 species